rnacentral:lncRNA from 1 species
AGCUGAACAAACUUCAUCUCCUUCAGGUGUCGGAUGUGCUCAGGGAGAUACUCCGCAUGGAAGGCUGCUAAAAACUGCUCCCAGGUGGCUGGUAUAGACAGGAUGGUCUGCUUGAGCUCCCACCAACGACUUGCUUCCCCUACCAGUAUGUAGGAAGCAAGGGCAAUUCUCUUCUUGGGAACCACUUCCAAGGUCUUGAAAGCUCUCUCAGUCUCCACCAACCAGU